rnacentral:rRNA from 1 species
CAGUCGCCGCGGGAAUACAGAGGGUGCGAGCGUUAAUCGGAUUUACUGGGCGUAAAGCGUGUGUAGGUUGUUGUUCAAGUCAGUUGUGAAAUCCCUGGGCUCAACCUGGGAACUGCUUCUGAGACUGAACGACUAGAGUACGGUAGAGGGUGGUGGAAUUUCCGGUGUAGCGGUGAAAUGCGUAGAUAUCGGAAGGAACAUCAAUGGCGAAGGCAGCCACCUGGGCCUGUACUGACACUGAGACACGAAAGCGUGGGGAUCAAACAGGAUUAGAUCCCGAGUAGUCCCUGUCUCUUAUACU